rnacentral:tRNA from 1 species
GGUGCCAUCGUCUAGUGGUAGGACAGCACGUUGUGGUCAACGAUCUGAUGAAGGUUGUCAUGCAAUUUCCGUGCAAACGGCGGUUCGAUCCCGUCUGGCGCCA